rnacentral:rRNA from 1 species
UUCCGGUUGAUCCUGCCGGACCCGACUGCUAUCAGAGUGGGACUAAGCCAUGCGAGUCAACGCAGCAAUGCGUGGCAUACGGCUCAGUAACACGUAGUCAACAUGCCCAGGGGACGUGGAUAACCUCGGGAAACUGAGGAUAAACCGCGAUAGGCCAAGAUUUCUGGAAUGGAUCAUGGCUGAAACCUACAUGGCCCCUGGAUUGGACUGCGGCCGAUCAGGCUGUUGGUGAGGUAGUGGCCCACCAAACCUGUAACCGGUACGGGCUCUGAGAGGAGGAGCCCGGAGAUGGGCACUGAGACAAGGGCCCAGGCCCUAUGGGGCGCAGCAGGCGCGAAACCUCUGCAAUAGGCGAAAGCUUGACAGGGUUACUCUGAGUGAUGCCCGUUAAGGGCAUCUUUUGGCACUUCUAAAAAUAGUGUAGAAUAAGGGGUGGGCAAGUCUGGUGUCAGCCGCCGCGGUAAUACCAGC